GCGGCGGACGGGUGAGUAAUACUUAGGAAUCUACCUAGUAGUGGGGGAUAGCUCGGGGAAACUCGAAUUAAUACCGCAUACGACCUACGGGAGAAAGGGGGCAACUUGUUGCUCUCGCUAUUAGAUGAGCCUAAGUCGGAUUAGCUAGAUGGUGGGGUAAAGGCCUACCAUGGCGACGAUCUGUAGCUGGUCUGAGAGGAUGAUCAGCCACACCGGGACUGAGACACGGCCCGGACUCCUACGGGAGGCAGCAGUGGGGAAUAUUGGACAAUGGGGGAAACCCUGAUCCAGCCAUGCCGCGUGUGUGAAGAAGGCCUUUUGGUUGUAAAGCACUUUAAGCAGUGAAGAAGACUCUUCGGUUAAUACCCGGAGACGAUGACAUUAGCUGCAGAAUAAGCACCGGCUAACUCUGUGCCAGCAGCCGCGGUAAUACAGAGGGUGCAAGCGUUAAUCGGAAUUACUGGGCGUAAAGCGAGCGUAGGUGGCUUGAUAAGUCAGAUGUGAAAUCCCCGGGCUUAACCUGGGAACUGCAUCUGAUACUGUCAGGCUAGAGUAGGUGAGAGGAAGGUAGAAUUCCAGGUGUAGCGGUGAAAUGCGUAGAGAUCUGGAGGAAUACCGAUGGCGAAGGCAGCCUUCUGGCAUCAUACUGACACUGAGGCUCGAAAGCGUGGGUAGCAAACAGGAUUAGAUACCCUGGUAGUCCACGCCGUAA
rnacentral:rRNA from 1 species